rnacentral:piRNA from 1 species
UACAAUGUCACGGGUGCUGUACUGUUUUA